rnacentral:rRNA from 1 species
AGAGUUUGAUCAUGGCUCAGGAUGAACGCUGGCGGCGUGCCUAACACAUGCAAGUCGAACGAAGCAUUUCAGAUGAGAUCUCCGGAUGGAUUCAGGGAUGACUGAGUGGCGGACGGGUGAGUAACGCGUGGGCAACCUGCCCUGCACAGGGGGACAACAGCUGGAAACGGCUGCUAAUACCGCAUAAGCGCACGGAGACGCAUGUCUUUGUGUGAAAAGCUCCGGUGGUGCAGGAUGGGCCCGCGUUGGAUUAGGUAGUUGGUGGGGCAACGGCCUACCAAGCCGACGAUCCAUAGCCGACCUGAGAGGGUGACCGGCCACAUUGGGACUGAGACACGGCCCAAACUCCUACGGGAGGCAGCAGUGGGGAAUAUUGCACAAUGGGCGCAAGCCUGAUGCAGCGACGCCGCGUGAGCGAAGAAGUAUUUCGGUAUGUAAAGCUCUAUCAGCAGGGAAGAAAAUGACGGUACCUGCAUAAGAAGCUCCGGCUAAAUACGUGCCAGCAGCCGCGGUAAUACGUAUGGAGCAAGCGUUAUCCGGAUUUACUGGGUGUAAAGGGAGCGUAGACGGGACAGCAAGUCUGAUGUGAAAGGCGGGGGCCCAACCCCUGGACUGCAUUGGAAACUGCUGACCUUGAGGCCCGGAGAGGUAAGCGGAAUUCCUAGUGUAGCGGUGAAAUGCGUAGAUAUUAGGAGGAACACCAGUGGCGAAGGCGGCUUACUGGACGGCAACUGACGUUGAGGCUCGAAAGCGUGGGGGAGCAAACAGGAUUAGAUACCCUGGUAGUCACGCGGUAACGA